rnacentral:rRNA from 2 species
CAAGGCUAAAUACUCCUGACUGACCGAUAGUGAACCAGUACCGUGAGGGAAAGGCGAAAAGAACCCCGGCGAGGGGAGUGAAAAAGAACCUGAAACCGUGUACGUACAAGCAGUGGGAGCACCUUCGGGUGUGACUGCGUACCUUUUGUAUAAUGGGUCAGCGACUUAUAUUCUGUAGCAAGGUUAACCGUAUAGGGGAGCCGAAGGGAAACCGAGUCUUAACUGGGCGUUAAGUUGCAGGGUAUAGACCCGAA